rnacentral:misc_RNA from 1 species
ACCCCCAUCUGCAAUGAGAUAUGGCCGAACUUCAUCCAAUACUCUCUCAACAUUCUCUGCAGUUAACGGCAAUUCCAAUGCUGAAUCUGGGGUGGCAACAGCUUUUACAAAAAUCUUCAUUACAAACAAACCUAGCCUUCGCGUCAAGACCGGCGACCGAAUCCGCACAGAACGGCAUGGGAUGCGCCUCAGCUGAUUACGCCCCCGCUUGAGCGAUACGUGGCUGCCAUAGAAGCUCGAACUCUUGGAGGGUCGAGAAGAGGAACGGGAAUCAAGGGUUUGCUGAGCCCUAUAGUAAGUUGGGUUAAGCACCACAGCUUGCAUCAUCUCUCUCUUGAUUGUAAGAUCAGAAACCAAGAGAGACAAAGAAAAACACGAAUUACAAUGAAAACAAAAGCUAAUUUAUUGAUUGAUGAAUCGAUGGUUAGAUAUAGAGGUAAAUCGCCUGUGCACUCUGCGAUUUCUGGUUGGUGCCGCCUUUUCUUUUUCCCGAUCGAAUAUGGAGGGCUGUGUAUCAACUAUGGAGUUUGUUUUGAUUUGCAAAUGUGACUACAAUCUGGGAGUUGCUGAUUCUCGCUGGGGUUUUGAUAUUGCCAGGAAGAGUUCUACAAAAGCGGACCAGUCGGUUCGAUUGGUUGAACCGAUAACCAAUCCAUUAGAUUCACCGUUCUCUG